rnacentral:rRNA from 1 species
GGCGGCGCAGGUGGCUCCGGGACGCACGGGGCCCCCGGCCCUACUCGGGCGCCCGCCGGAGGUAUCUAACUCUUGACAAUUGUAUGGCCUCUCUGAGUCUUUGUACUUAAUAAGUCAAAACUUUCAACAACGGAUCUCUUGGUUCUGGCAUCGAUGAAGAACGCAGCGAAAUGCGAUAAGUAAUGUGAAUUGCAGAAUUCAGUGAAUCAUCGAAUCUUUGAACGCACAUUGCGCCCGCCAGUAUUCUGGCGGGCAUGCCUGUUCGAGCGUCAUUUCAACCAUCAAGCCCCCGGCUUGUGUUGGGGACCUGCGGCUGCCGCAGGCCCUGAAAACCAGUGGCGGGCUCGCUAGUCACUCCGAGCGUAGUAAUACAUCUCGCUCAGGGCGUGCUGCGGGUUCCGGCCGUUAAAAAGCCUUAUUUACCCAAGGUUGACCUCGGAUCAGGUAUG